GAUAAAGUCGGGGCAGAGGCGGGGGUGAGACGGGGGGUGGGAGAGUUGUGCGGAAUCAUGGGGCGUAGAGCGCGGGUGGGCGGCUUGGCAAGGCGGGUGGGGAAUCCCGGGGCGCAACCCCGGAACUGCAUGCGAAACUGCCGCGCUAGAGUCCCGGAGAGGAAGGCGGAAUUCCCGGUGUAGAGGUGAAAUUCGUAGAUAUCGGGAGGAACACCAGCGGCGAAGGCGGCCUUCUGGACGGUGACUGACGCUGAGACGCGAAAGCGUGGGGAGCAAACAGGAUUAGAUACCCGUGUAGUC
rnacentral:rRNA from 1 species